UUCCCAGACUCCUACGGGAGGCAGCAGUGGGGGAUAUUGCACAAUGGGGGAAACCCUGAUGCAGCGAUGCCGCGUGAAUGAAGACGGCCUUUGGGUUGUAAAGUUCUGUCGCAGGGGACGAAAAUGACGGUACCCUGCAAGAAAGCUCCGGCUAACUCCGUGCCAGCAGCCGCGGUAAUACGGAGGAUGCGAGCGUUAUCCGGAUUUAUUGGGUUUAAAGGGUGCGUAGGCGGAAUGCCAAGUCAGCGGUAAAAUCGGGGGGCUCAACCUCGCUCCGCCGUUGAAACUGGCGUUCUUGAGUGGGCGAGAAGUAUGCGGAAUGCGUGGUGUAGCGGUGAAAUGCAUAGAUAUCACGCAGAACUCCGAUUGCGAAGGCAGCAUACCGGCGCCCAACUGACGCUGAAGCACGAAAGCGUGGGUAUCGAACAGGAUUAGAUACCCGUGUAAC
rnacentral:rRNA from 1 species